GAGCAAUGUGGAAAUUUACAUGAGUUAUUGUGACACAUAUAAGUGCUGUGGGGGAGUAUGGCACUGUGGCAAGCGCUGUGGUGGCAGUGUGACCUUUCUGCAAGUGUUAUGGUGCAUGGUGACCCAGUAGCCAUAUAUUUUUGCUUGUGGUGUGCCUUGGGUGAGAAAAGGUUGAGGAGCACUGACAUUUGAUGUUUGUUUGUGGGUUUUUUUGUGG